ensembl:lncRNA
CCCGCCCACACGCCCUUCGCCCCGCCCCUACCCUGUCCUCGCCCCUGGGAGCCGGACCCGGCUCCGCUCCGAGGCAGCUGAAGGGAUGGCAGUUCUGGGAAGGGGGUGCGCCGUGUCCGCCCCUCCCGCCGCCUCUGCCCCUAGGCCCACUCAGGGUCAGAGCACUCAGCCGUAAAAAGGGUGAACGAUCGGGGCCUCAGCAGCCGGGGCAAAUUUGCAGAGAAAUACGCUGCAGGAAAAUCGCCAAUCCCUGAGGGUCCCCCCUGAACGAUCACGUUUAUGUAUCAUUCUCGAGAUGAGAUUCUAGAAACGGAGAGCAGGAGCUGAGAAUCGAAGGUGUGCUGAGACGUGCGGUUCUCUGACUGCUCAGCGCUGCACACAGCAGCGGACAGCAGCGAGAACCCCAGGAAGAAGUCCGCCCCCUCGUAGGGGCGGAAGCAGCCUCUGGCGCACGUGUACGCGGCUCAGAGCGCUCUAAAUCAGCUGCUUCUCCUGCGCUUAUGGGAAUUGUGUUCCAGGGAGACUGGUUCAUUCAUUCUCAUUUCUAUAACUGCUUCUUUCUGGCUAAACCUGAAAUAACUGUUUAAGAGCAAAGCCCUACCAAUGAUAAGCCAUG